rnacentral:rRNA from 1 species
UACGUAGGGGGCUAGCGUUGUCCGGAAUCAUUGGGCGUAAAGAGCGUGUAGGCGGUCCGGUAAGUCCGCUGUGAAAGUCGGGGGCUCAACCCUCGAAUGCCGGUGGAUACUGUCGGGCUAGGGUGCGGAAGAGGCGAGUGGAAUUCCUGGUGUAGCGGUGAAAUGCGCAGAUAUCAGGAGGAACACCUAUUGCGAAGGCAGCUCGCUGGGACGUUACUGACGCUGAGACGCGAAAGCGUGGGGAGCAAACAGG